AACGAACGCUGGCGGCAUGCCUAACACAUGCAAGUCGAACGAGAUCUUCGGGUCUAGUGGCGCACAGGUGCGUAACGCGUGGGAAUCUGCCCUUUGGUUCGGAAUAACAGUUGGAAACGACUGCUAAUACCGGAUGAUGACGAAAGUCCAAAGAUUUAUCGCCAGAGGAUGAGCCCGCGUAGGAUUAGCUAGUUGGUGUGGUAAAGGCGCACCAAGGCGACGAUCCUUAGCUGGUCUGAGAGGAUGAUCAGCCACACUGGGACUGAGACACGGCCCAGACUCCUACGGGAGGCAGCAGUUGGGAAUAUUGGACAAUGGGCGAAAGCCUGAUCCAGCAAUGCCGCGUGAGUGAUGAAGGCCUUAGGGUUGUAAAGCUCUUUUACCCGGGAUGAUAAUGACAGUACCGGGAGAAUAAGCUCCGGCUAACUCCGUGCCAGCCGCCGCAGUAA
rnacentral:rRNA from 1 species